ACCUACGGGGCGCAGCAGUGAGGAAUAUUGGUCAAUGGGCGGGAGCCUGAACCAGCCAAGCCGCGUGAGGGAAGAAGGUACAGCGUAUCGUAAACCUCUUUUGUCAGGGAACAAAGGCGGGGACUAGUCCCCGGAUGAGGGUACCUGAAGAAGAAGCAUCGGCUAACUCCGUGCCAGCAGCCGCGGUAAUACGGAGGAUGCGAGCGUUAUCCGGAUUUAUUGGGUUUAAAGGGUGCGUAGGCGGGCUUUUAAGUCAGCGGUAAAAAUUCGGGGCUCAACCCCGUCCGGCCGUUGAAACUGGGGGC
rnacentral:rRNA from 1 species